AUGAAAGAGCUGUCAGGCUGUUCACCACCAAUCCAGAAGCAACAGAAAGGUGUCAAACAUACACUGAUAGUUCAUCUCUGGAAUAUGCUUCCCACGGACCAAAACGAAGCUGCAGAAUGUAACAAGCUACCAGAUUUAAAAGCUGCGCAGGAUAAACCCACUAACGUUUCUGGAAAAACAAAGUUUAGAGAAUCAUUACUGAAACAUAAAAUAGAAGCACUGAGUCUGGAGGCAGCUCUGGAGACCGUCUGGUCCAAACAGAGCAGGGCUGGCUGGAGCUGGAGCAAGUUGCCCAGUGCUUCCAACCUGGCGUUGGCCAUCUCUGUGCAACUGCUCCCAUGUUCAAACAAGGUGGUAAUUUAGAAAAGGGUUUUCUUAUGUUUAAAUGGAAGUUCCUGAUUGAUCUUGCUUGUUUGUUUGUUGCAGGAUUUUUUGGUCUCUUUUGUUUUAUUUUCAUCUUUGUCCAUUGCCUCCUGUCCUCUUGCCCCAUUGGGGCAACACUGAGAAGAGCCUGGCUCCAUCUUACUGUAUCAAUACCCAUCAGGUAUUGAUACAUGUGGGUGGGAUCCCCCUGAGCCUUCUCCAGGCUGAGCAGUGCGAGCUGCACUCAGCCUGUCCUUCUAUGAGAGAUCAAAGAAUCACAGAAUCAUUCAGGUUGGAAAAGACCUCCGAGAUCCCCAAGUCCAACCCCAGCCCACCAUGCCCACUGCCCACGUCCCUCAGUGCCACAUCCCAUGGUUCUGGAACACCUCCAGGGACUGUGACCCCCCCCCCACACUCCUUGGGCAGCCUGUACCAGUGCAUUACCAGCGCAUUAGAUGCCCCAAUCCUUUCACAAUCUUUGUGACAAUGAUGUAUACCUAUAUAUGCAUACAAACUCUACGUAUAUCAGUAGAGGAAACGUGCUGGUUGUGUGUCACAGCAGGUCCCUCCAAGGCACGCAGGCAUGGCCAUGGUGCUGCUCCUCCAGCCUUCCCACAAAUGAACUCGUGCUGCAGUUUUCUCUUUUCCCUAAGCUACGAACUGUUUGGACAGCGACAUUAAUAGCGGUCGUGUUAUAAAACUGCAGCAGAUUUAGCUGCAGGCUUUUUUCAAAUUGAGAGCAGUCGGGGCUUUGCACAGAGGAGCUGUUGUCCCGUUAGCCUUGUAUUCCUUAGGGGAAACAACCAUGGUGGUAUUUGCUCCUUAGGAUGCCCAGGACUUACAGCAGGUUCAGUGACCAAAUUACUUUCAUGAUGUUUCUAAUUACCCUUUGGCCCUCAGCUCUGUACAUUGGACGUGCACGCUGCUGUCCCUUGACACCACCCUCCUGGGAGCGAGGGACACCUGAGGAAGCAGAAAACAUUUUUCUACCACGUGACCUAUUUCACCUGUUUCACGAUAACUACCAUUUCUGGUCUGUUUUCUUUUUUCAACGCAGCUAAGAGCAAGCCUCUACUCUGAGAGGAGACACAGAUUCACCGCUGUCAUGUUUCUGAAACAGAAGGCUGCUCUGCGCUAUCCAAUUAAGGACCUUAAUUUAAAUUAAAACCACAACAAAAUAAAAUGCUGCUUACCUUCA
rnacentral:lncRNA from 1 species